rnacentral:tRNA from 1 species
GCCCGGGUGGCGGAAUGGUAGACGCAGCGGACUUAAAAUCCGUUGAUCGCGAGGUCAUGUGGGUUCGAGUCCCACCCCGGGCACCA